GUAGGCGAGCGAGUUAUCGAAGACGCUUAGGCUAAUAGAGAAGAGAGCGUCAGUGCGUAGCCUUCAUUCUACUACGCUACGCAAAGGUUACGAAGUAACUUAGCUCGACGUUAGGAGAGUCAAGGGGGAAGGCCAUACCUACAUAGAAGAACCGCUGUUCGCUGACUUUCUAAGGUCUAACCUUUCGCUCCCCUACUGAAAAGGGGCACAAAGCCGCUUUGCACCACUGAUAGACUACUUCAGAUUCAAUUCAAAGGGCCCUACUUAGUUAGUUUCGCAAGCCUUUGUCAUUGUCAGUCAACUAAGUAGGUCGUUCCGCCCCCUGCGAAUCCGUAAAUCUGAGGAGCAUGCCGCAACACAACAAAAGGAUGGUCCCCUAUGCAUUUCAUUCUUUCCGGAAGGGAAAAAAAAGAAAAGUACCCCCAUCAUGGUGAACCUCUCCUUGUGAUCGGGAUGAGGUAGAUGCCUCCCAGCUGGGGGGCGGAUCGAAUCGGAGUUUCCUUAGGUAGCCACCGACCUACAGUUAUCCUUAAACUUCCGUGCUUGGUGGAGAAGAAGCGAACAAAGGUACGCUCGCUUGCUGUCUUGUUCUCUGCCGCGAACUGGGAUCGCUCGCCAGCUAGGUCAGAUUGGAGCAAGAAUUUAUGAGAACAUAUUACCCAUCUUCGGGGACAAGGGGCGGAACGACCUCUCGAUCUGCUUACUGCAGCCCAGGAAUAAAAACGUCGUCUAGGCUUUCCUUCUUGCUCCGAUCUCCCCGACGCCUAGGACGUUGUCUGGGCCAAGAGCCAUAGUGAAUUGCUGUUUAAAUUGUUUUUUUCUUGUUGUUGAUACCGGCAAGACCCAGCCAGAUGAUGUCUGCUGGUUGGUAGUGAGAGGACUCGUAGUACCUGCAUACCCAAAAGAAAAGGAGGCGCUGAUUAAAAAACAAUAAUUUUUGAUUUUUCUUACUUUCCCUUAGCAGCGGGAAAGGAGUCUAUCUAUCUGCCUAGCUUUGGUAGAUUUUCCCCAACGCAAUCCAUAGAAAUUCCACGAAUCCCUUGGUGGAUAAGUCCGACGACUCAGCAGCUGUGCGGAAUUGAGUUUAUCGUCUGGUGGAUCUGAUCUUUAGGGGUCAAUACAUACC